rnacentral:rRNA from 1 species
UUAUGGCUCAGGACGAACGCUGGCGGCGCGCCUAACACAUGCAAGUCGAACGAGAGAGAAGAAGCUUGCUUCUUUGAUCGAGUGGCGAACGGGUGAGUAACGCGUGAGGAACCUGCCUCAAAGAGGGGGAAAACAGUUGGAAACGACUGCUAAUACCGCAUAAGCCCACGGGUCGGCAUCGACCAGAGGGAAAAGGAGCAAUCCGCUUUGAGAUGGCCUCGCGUCCGAUUAGCUAGUUGGUGAGGUAACGGCCCACCAAGGCGACGAUCGGUAGCCGGACUGAGAGGUUGAACGGCCACAUUGGGACUGAGACACGGCCCAGACUCCUACGGGAGGCAGCAGUGGGGAAUAUUGCACAAUGGGGGAAACCCUGAUGCAGCGACGCCGCGUGGAGGAAGAAGGUCUUCGGAUUGUAAACUCCUGUUGUUGAGGAAGAUAAUGACGGUACUCAACAAGGAAGUGACGGCUAACUACGUGCCAGCAGCCGCGGUAAAACGUAGGUCACAAGCGUUGUCCGGAAUUACUGGGUGUAAAGGGAGCGCAGGCGGGAAGACAAGUUGGAAGUGAAAUCCAUGGGCUCAACCCAUGAACCGCUUUCAAAACUGUUUUUCUUGAGUAGUGCAGAGGUAGGCGGAAUUCCCGGUGUAGCGGUGGAAUGCGUAGAUAUCGGGAGGAACACCAGUGGCGAAGGCGGCCUACUGGGCACCAACUGACGCUGAGGCUCGAAAGUGUGAGUAGCAAACAGGAUUAGAUACCCUGGUAGUUCCACACCGUAAACGAUGAUUACUAGGUGUUGGAGGAUUGACCCCUUCAAGUGCCG